CAUGUCUUUAAUACACCCUCCAGAAUAUUUUCGCGAUAAUAUGUGGCAUUUUUCCGAUGCCACGGUCAAUUAAUACGGGAACGGAGAACGAACAUCGGCUGUUAUGGCGGCCCACACCAUAACCAUGGCCGGCGCUUGAGUUCUGUUGGCCAACCGAAGGUGCACAUUUUCAGCUGACCUCUUUGACAAGUAAACACGAUCAUUUUGUUUGUUUACAAACUGCUGAACAACGAAUGUUUUCUAAUCGGAGAAACCCAAAUCCGGCAGUUCACCACUUUCGGUCAAGCGAAGCAACUCUUAGGCUCUUUUGAGUCUAUUUUCUUUCUGUUGCGGUGUAAGUUCUUGCACUUUUUGGAAUUUCAAUGGCUUUACCCUGAGCUCAUUUUCCAAUAUUUGCCGAAUGGAAUAUUGCGAUAAGUUCAGUUCACGAGCCAUUUUUCGGUCACUGCGACACGGGUUUCGAUCAAGUCGCUUCUUUAUUUUUCGAACCAUUUCUGCUAAUUUUGCAGUUUUCUUCCGUCCUCUUUCUUGACUUCGAUGGUACGAGAAACAACAGAUUAAUUCAUAUUUAAAUUUUGGAGUGCUCUAACGAUAGUCACUUGUGGUUUUCCAGCCAAAUAUAAAGAAAUCACACUAUGACGCUUGAAUUCCAUCACGAAUAAAUUUUUUUCUGGAAAAUUCUCACCAAAAUGCUUUUGU